rnacentral:tRNA from 1 species
GCCUGGAUGGCUCAGUUGGUUGAGCAUCUGACUUCAGCUCAGGUCAUGAUCUCAAAGCUCGUGAGUUCAAGCCCCACAUCGGGCU